GAUGAACGCUGACGGCGUGCCUAAUACAUGCAAGUCGAGCGAACGGACGAGAAGCUUGCUUCUCUGAUGUUAGCGGCGGACGGGUGAGUAACACGUGGAUAACCUACCUAUAAGACUGGGAUAACUUCGGGAAACCGGAGCUAAUACCGGAUAAUAUUUUGAACCGCAUGGUUCAAAAGUGAAAGACGGUCUUGCUGUCACUUAUAGAUGGAUCCGCGCUGCAUUAGCUAGUUGGUAAGGUAACGGCUUACCAAGGCAACGAUGCAUAGCCGACCUGAGAGGGUGAUCGGCCACACUGGAACUGAGACACGGUCCAGACUCCUACGGGAGGCAGCAGUAGGGAAUCUUCCGCAAUGGGCGAAAGCCUGACGGAGCAACGCCGCGUGAGUGAUGAAGGUCUUCGGAUCGUAAAACUCUGUUAUUAGGGAAGAACAUAUGUGUAAGUAACUGCGCACAUCUUGACGGUACCUAAUCAGAAAGCCACGGCUAACUACGUG
rnacentral:rRNA from 1 species